rnacentral:rRNA from 1 species
UGAUCCAGCNAUGCCGCGUGAGUGAAGAAGGCCUUCGGGUUGUAAAGCUCUUUCGGCCGGAACGAAAUCGCGUACGUGAAUAACGUGCGUGGAUGACGGUACUGGAAGAAGAAGCACCGGCUAACUACGUGCCAGCAGCCGCGGUAAUACGUAGGGUGCGAGCGUUAAUCGGAAUUACUGGGCGUAAAGCGUGCGCAGGCGGUUCCGCAAGUCAGAUGUGAAAUCCCCGGGCUUAACCUGGGAACUGCGUUUGAAACUACGGAGCUAGAGUACGGCAGAAGGGGGUGGAAUUCCACGUGUAGCAGUGAAAUGCGUAGAUAUGUGGAGGAACACCGAUGGCGAANGCAGCCCCCUGGGCCGAUACUGACGCUCAGGCACGAAAGCGUGGGGAGCAAACAGGAUUAGAUACCCUGGUAGUCCACGCCCUAAACUAUGUCAACUAGUUGUCGGGGAAGCAAUUCCUUGGUAACGAAACUAACGCGUGAAGUUGACCGCCUGGGGAGUACGGUCGCAAGAUUAAAACUCAAAUG